rnacentral:rRNA from 1 species
GAUCCUGGCUCAGGAUGAACGCUAGCUACAGGCUUAACACAUGCAAGUCGAGGGGAAACGAUAUUGGAAGCUUGCUUCCGAUAGGCGUCGACCGGCGCACGGGNGAGUAACGCGUAUCCAACCUGCCCACCACUUGGGGAUAACCUUGCGAAAGUAAGACUAAUACCCAAUGAUAUCUCUAGAAGACAUCUGAAAGAGAUUAAAGAUUUAUCGGUGAUGGAUGGGGAUGCGU